rnacentral:rRNA from 1 species
UGACGGUACCUGACUAAGAAGCUCCGGCUAAAUACGUGCCAGCAGCCGCGGUAAUACGUAUGGAGCAAGCGUUAUCCGGAUUUACUGGGUGUAAAGGGUGCGUAGGCGGCAUGGCAAGUCAGAUGUGAAAGACCGGGGCUCAACUCCGGGGCUGCAUUUGAAACUGCCAGGCUUGAGUACAGGAGAGGCAGGCGGAAUUCCUAGUGUAGCGGUGAAAUGCGUAGAUAUUAGGAGGAACACCAGUGGCGAAGGCGGCCUGCUGGACUGUUACUGACGCUGAGGCACGAAAGCGUGGGGAGCAAACAGGAUUAGAUACCCUG